GGGGACGAUCUUGGCUUCGACGUGGUCGGUUCACCUGGGUGGUUGCGAGCCGAGGUUCCGGGGUGGCCUCGUAAAACCCCCGGAAAAACACACGUGCGGACUCUCACGAGUACGCCCUCGCCGCCUAGCACUAGCUAGAGCCGCGAGGUUCUGGUCCCCGCCUGCCGACGGUGGGACAACCGGAAUCAUUACGUCGGCUGACCCCGGAAGGUCCGCUUCCGCCGACCGGGGGACAUUUCAGGGAGCUGGUCUCGGACAACCCCGCCGGCGAGGCGAGUCCGAGAUGAGAUCAGAGCGCCGGAUACGCUCGUAGACGCCACUCUUGUGCGAUCGCGGACGCGGGUUCGAUUCCCGCCGUCUCCAUUG
rnacentral:tmRNA from 1 species